UGGCGUCAAGAAUUGCGAAGCUUAUUUAGAUGAUAUAGUUGCCUACUCCUCCACCUGGUCCAACCAUCUCCACACACUGUCCCUCAUUUUCAGCCGUCUCCGUGAGGCUUCCCUCACAUUAAACCUCGCAAAAUGUGAAUUUGGCAAGGCCACUGUUACCUAUUUGGGUAAACAGGUAGGUCAGGGGGAAGUGCGUCCGUUGGCAGAAAAAGUGCAGGCGAUUAUUGAUUUUCCAGUCCCACAGUCCAAGAAAGCGCUGCGCCGUUUUCUUGGAAUGUGUGGGUAUUAUCGUGGUUUCUGUCUAAACUUUUCUGAUGUGGUGGCUCCUCUCACAGGUCUCUUAAAUCCUUUGAAAACCUUUGUUUGGUCCCCCGCUUGCCAGGCUGCCUUCGAGUCUGCCAAGGCGUUAUUAAGUAGCGCACCUGUCCUCGCCGCGCCCUGCUUUACGCGAUCGUUCAAAUUAGAGGUUGACGCCAGUGCGUGUGGCGCAGGUGCUGUGCUCUUGCAGGAGGGCGAUCAGGCUAUUGACCACUCGGUCUGUUACUUCUCAAGAAAGUUUAAUAAACAUCAGCUUCAUUAUAGCACUAUCGAGAAGGAAGCUCUCGCCCUCCUGUUUGCCUUGCAGUAUUUUGAGGUUUAUCUCGGAUCUACUUCGCAGCCUGUCCAAGUGUACACAGAUCACAACCCAUUAGUAUUUCUAGCACAUAUGCGCAAUUCUAACCAGCGGCUUAUGCGCUGGUCUCUUCUCCUGCAGGAUUUUAAUCUGCAAAUUUUUCCCAAGAAGGGUACAGAAAAUGUAAAAGCAGACGCUUUGUCUAGGUGUUCCUCAGAUCAGGAAACAAACAUUUAGGGGUAUGUUUGAUUCUUGGGUGUGGGGGGGUUAUGACUGUGGUCAUUCUUUUGUUCGGUCUGCUGUGUGCUUGUGUGCCCUGUGCCUUUUUCUUUUUGAUUUUGACAUGCAUAGAUGAGUGUGCCAGGACGUGGACAUGAUUGGUGGACGAGGUUCGAGCCCUGGCCUGUGGUGGGCUGCAUCCGGGAACCAACCACUACAAAAGGAGCCAAGAUGGCGGCCGUCUGGGGGCAGCAGGCAUUUUCCCCGUCCUCUUCCUCUCCCAACCGGCCACACUGUCAUUCUGUCUUGUUGGAUGUUACAUAAUAGUUGAUAGUUUAAUUUGUGUGAUAGUAGGGGUGGACUGCCAGUUCUGUUUACUGUGUUUUCUCUUGUAUUACUUAGAUAGGGAGGUAAGAUUUGUAGUUUGUUUUCUUAGGGCUAUUUUCUUACUUUCUAGAUAGGAUUGUUUUAUAUGUUAUUUUGGCCUUGGUCUGCCCUGAAGUUUAUAUUAUAUAUCUAUAGGUUUAUUUAAUAAUUUGUAUAAAUAAAUCUUUCCUUAUACCCAAAUUGUGAUUUGGGUUGUGGCUAUAUGGGAGUUGGGGAAGACGGGGGCUCAUUCACGUUAGGCCCUAGGCACCCCUAGACUGGGGCCUAACACAAGACAGCAGUGGCGAUACGGGAGAUCCUUGGAACUUAUGAUCUCCAGGAGGAACAUGGUGUCAACGUGAAACGCACUUUGGCGCUUCGUGCUCUUCCUGUCUACCUACGUGAGGAAGAUUCAGAGUUCUUCAAGACCUACAAUCAAGAAGAGGAUCCUGAUCUCAGCGAUACUUCUGUUGUCCUCCUCACAACUGGCGCGGACCCCUUAAACCCCUAACCCUUAAAUUUUCUACCAACCUGUUCAGUUUAUUGUUGUUAAAAAACAUGACCCUUUGUCUUCAUGUCAUUGUUUAAAAUGUAAU